UUAAACCACUUGUACAAAACUUAAAGCCAAACAGGUUUUAUAAGAUAAUUCAGAAAAUAUAAAUAGUUCAGAAUUUUUUUUUUUAAGUAGCAACUUCUGCCUCCUCACGAUCAUUAACAUCAAUGUCCACCUAAUUAAUAGCCAAUGAUACACUCACACCAUAGUUGCGGUCAUGUUAAAAUCGGCAGACUUCAGUUUUUUCAUACUACAGAAGAACCGUGAUAGAAUUUUAUACGUACAUAGGCAACAAAAUCAAGGAUUGGCAGACAGUCUGUGAAAUUGUAUUUGGCUAUCCUGACCUGGAAGUCUUCUCAACCAUGCACACAAUAAAAGGGGUAGCUGAGUCUCCUCUGGAUUCUCUCCCU
rnacentral:lncRNA from 1 species